rnacentral:misc_RNA from 1 species
CUAGAAUUAAAAAUUUAUAGUUGGAAGUAGUAGUGAAUGCUAUGAAUACCCAUUGAUCGCUAAGCACUACACAAUUGGGUCCGAGCACUGAGUGGUAAUGCAGAAUAAAGAAGCUAUUUGUGUGAUAUUGAAAAUGAUUCCCAGCUCAUGAUCAUUAAAUGAUGUAUCCAAUCAUAAAGCUUCCUAGCCCAAUCAAAAGCAUAAAUUUAAUUUGACAUAGCAAUAAUUUGAGAAAAAUGGAAAGGAUGGCUGACAACAACUUUCACAACGAAGACAAGCAGGCUAGUGUUUGUUAGUUUCCCUGUUGACAUCAUAAGCUACUUUUGCUUGCACAUAUCAAGGAGGAUACCCUACACCUUUCAAGAGUUAUCUACAUUAGAUGCUAACAAUGAGGAUACCCUACACCUUUCAAGAGUUAUCUACAUUAGAUGCUAACAAUGUAUGUUCCAUAUGUUUUGAAAUUUCAUGAGGAAAAACAAUGUCAAAAUCUGCAUUUAUAAAGAACAAAUCAGACGAUAAUUGCAUAUGCAAACAUGCUACAAACUCAGGCGUUCUAUUCAUUCACACCAACCCACCCUCACAUUAAGUUCUAUUCGGCAUUCUCCAUGAGCAAAGAAAGUUAGACGAACUUUGUCAUAUGUGGAGGGAAGGCUGUAUUUUGGCAACGAUCACAUCAAUCAGCCAAUUCAUCAAGCCCAUAGUCCUCACCAAAAUAUCUAUCAACCAAACCAUUUGCCAUGUUUCUCAGAUCUUCAUUCUCAUGAAACUGAAAUCUUUCCAUGGCUUCGAUCCCAUCCUCUUGUUCAACAAGCUUUGGGCCCUCACCAUUUGGCAUCCCCCUUAAAACCAGCUCUAUAAAUUGAAGACCUAGUCUUGCAGCCUCUGUAUCAACGGAUCUAACCAAGUCAAUAAAAGCAGGAAGGCAUCCUCUACCAACAAGGGGAACUAAGUGCUCCAAAAUCAGGUCUGGCUUUCCAUUGCCUUCUGCUGGGGCAACACAGAGAUUACCCAAAACAUAAGCUACUUCUUUUCUUAUGUCGAAGGGUGCUGUUGAAAGAAGCCGCAAUAGUAGUGGCACUGCCUCACUAGAAUAGACGAACUGUUUGUGCUCAACUGAACCGGCAGCUAUAUUAGAUAACACCCAUGCAGCUUCCUUCUUCAAGACUCGAUGUUCACUCUUCAAACAUUUUACCAGGACCUCAAUAAUAUUAUCUGUGAUUUCACGUCCAGGAAUAAGAAUAGCAGAAAUUGUGUGAGAAUCACCAGCUAUAAGAUUACCUAAACUUCUCAGCAACGGAAUGAGCAAUUGCAAGCUGUUUGAUGUUGCUAAUCUUUGUAUGAGCAGUUGAAGAACAUCACUUUUCACCAGCAUAUUGGUAGCAAAAUUUGAGAGGGCUGAAAGAUACACGACUACCCAUGCUACUUCAGUUGCCAACUCCUCAUCCGCUUUUCUCAAGUGCCGACAUAUUGCAUCCAGUACCCCAUCAACUCGAAUGAGUUCUGUUGCAGCUUUAGAAUCCGGUCCCUUGAUUAGGUUUGAUAAUGCCCAAGCAGCUGUUCUAACGGUUGAACCCUUGUUUGGUAGCAUCAUUCUAGCAAUAGGCAGUAAGGCUCCUUGGGCUAGCAAAACAUUCCUCAAAUCUUCCCCUUCUCCAGCAACAUUUCCCAAUGCCCAUGCACACUGCUCAGCAACAGGCAAAGAACUCUUUUCUCCAAGGUGUGCAAUAAGCAAUGGUAAUGCAGGCAGUAAAGCCUUUGUUUCUUCUGGUUUUCCUGCUGCUAUGUUUGUAAGGCACCAAGCUGCCUCAAGCAACUGUUCAUCAGGAGAGCCAAAUGAAAGGCACUGCACAAGUAGCGGAACUGCUCCAGCUUUAAGAGCAGCUUCAACAGGAGGGAAUUCAGAUCUUGACAGCAAACGCCUUAGUUCACGAAGUGCACCAACUUUCUUCUGCAUUGCACCUUUUCCUUGAAAAGCAAUAGCAGACUUCAACUCUUCCACUGCCGACAAAGUUUGAGCCUCCAGAAUCGAUUGCUCUUCGUCAAUCAUCAUGUCACUGUCAAGAGGAAUAUCACUAUCACCACUAAUCCCUACUCUGCAAAGGCGCUUUGCCCGCACUAAUGAUUCUCUCCUUUCCUUACCCACAGCCACAGCAUUCUGCCGUCUCUUCUGUGCCGCAACACUCCCAACUGAAGACUUGAUAGGGUCUCUUUUAUGAGAAGCCAAUCCAUCUUCAGCCAUUAUAGAAAGCUUUUGAGAAAGCAGAGAAGUGUUUGUGCAGCGGUAAGGUUUUGAAUGAGCAGAAAUGGGAACAGAAAACCCCCAAAAUGACAACGAUUCUCUGCAAUUCACUCGCCCAAGCGCCAAAACUCACGGCCUUUGAUCAAUUGCUAAUUUAUUCUUCGCAAAAUGCACAAAG